rnacentral:rRNA from 1 species
AGGGAAUCUUCCGCAAUGGGCGAAAGCCUGACGGAGCAACGCCGCGUGAGCGAGGAAGGUCUUCGGAUCGUAAAACUCUGUUGUUAGGGAAGAACAAGUAUCGUUCGAAUAGGGCGGUACCUUGACGGUACCUAACCAGAAAGCCACGGCUAACUACGUGCCAGCAGCCGCGGUAAUACGUAGGUGGCAAGCGUUGUCCGGAAUUAUUGGGCGUAAAGCGCGCGCAGGCGGUCUUUUAAGUCUGAUGUGAAAGCCCACGGCUCAACCGUGGAGGGUCAUUGGAAACUGGAAGACCUGAGUGCAGAAGAGGAGAGUGGAAUUCCACGUGUAGCGGUGAAAUGCGUAGAGAUGUGGAGGAACACCAGUGGCGAAGGCGACUCUCUGGUCUGUAACUGACGCUGAGGCGCGAAAGCGUGGGGAGCAAAC